AUUGACCGCUGGCGGCAGGCCUAACAAAUGCAAGUCGAACGAGUGGCGGACGGGUGAGUAAUGUCUGGGAAACUGCCUGAUGGAGGGGGAUAACUCCUGGAAACGGUAGCUAAUACCGCAUACCAUCGGAUGUGCCCAGAGGGGAGUAGCUAGUAGGUGGGGGAAAGGCUCACCUAGGCGACGAGCCCUAGCUGAGCUGAGAGGAUGACCAGCCACACUGGAACUGAGACACGGUCCAGAUUGCUACGGGAGGCAGCAGUGGGGAAUAUUGCACAAUGGGCGCAAGCCUGAUGCAGCCAUGCCGCGUGUAUGAAGAAGGCCUUCGGGUUGUAAAGUACGUUCAGCGGGGAGGCGUUACCCGCAGAAGAAGCACAGGCUAACUCCGGGCCAGCAGCAGCGGUAAGAC
rnacentral:rRNA from 1 species